CCUACGGGAGGCAGCAGUGAGGAAUAUUGGUCAAUGGCCGCAGGGCUGAACCAGCCAAGUCGCGUGAGGGAUGACGGUCCUAUGGAUUGUAAACCUCUUUUGUCAGGGAGCAAAGGGCGCCCCGUGUGGCUCUUUGCGAGUACCUCACGAAAAAGCAUCGGCUAACUCCGUGCCAGCAGCCGCGGUAAUACGGAGGCUGCGGUCGUUAUCCGGUUUUAUUGGGUUUCAAGGGUGCGCAGGCGGAAUUUCACGUCAGCGGUAAAAUUUCGGGGCUCAACCCCGUCGUGCCGUUGAAACUGGUGUUCUUGAGUGAGCGAGAAGUAUGCGGAAUUCGUGGUGUAGCGGUGAAAUGCAUAGAUAUCACGCAGAACGCCGAUGGCGAAGGCAGCAUACCGGCGCUCAACUGACGCUCAUGCACGAAAGCGUGGGUAUCGAACAGGAUUAGAUACCCGAGUAGUC
rnacentral:rRNA from 1 species